rnacentral:rRNA from 1 species
AAAUAAGGCUUUUCGUAUGUGACCUGCGGAGGAUCAUUAAAAGUAAAUAUGUAUUCUCUGGAAUAUACGUUUCAAACCCAUCUGUGUAUCUUACCUGUUGCUUCCGUACCGCGUGGACUUCGGUCCCCUCAUGCUGUACUUCGGUACGGUUCCAGAGUGCCGGUGCGGAAGGUAUACAUCAAACUCUUGCAUUCCAUGUCUUCUGUCUGAACUGUUAAUAACAAAAGUUUAAAACUUUCAACAACGGAUCUCUUGGUUCUCGCAUCGAUGAAGAACGCAGCGAAAUGCGAUAAGUAGUGUGAAUUGCAGAAUUCAGUGAAUCAUCGAAUCUUUGAACGCACAUUGCGCCUCCUGGUAUUCCGGGAGGCAUGCCUGUUCGAGCGUCAUUAAAAACCACUCAAGCUCUUUUGCUUGGUCAUGGAAGAAGAGUCCGCUUGCCGGUCUCCCUUUCGAAAUGCAAUGGCGGAAGGUCUCUUGUACCCAGCGUAGUAAUAACUUUUCGCUUUGUGCAUUGAUUCAUUCCUGCCGUCAAACCCCCAAUUUUCUUAGGUUGACCUCGGAUCAGGUAGGGAUACCCGCUGAACUUAAGCAUAUCAAUAGCGCAGGGAGGAGUCU